AUUUCCUUUUGAAAGUGUAGGCAACACCAAACAACCAAGAUAAAGCAUGGAAUGUGGAACUAAGCCAAUCCUAUCAACUUCUUCUUCCUUUUAACCUUGGAUAAGUAAACCUAGUGGAAGACAAGAGGUCAUAAAACUUCAGUCAUCUGUCAAUUUCCUUUUGAAAGUGUAGGCAACACCAAACAACCAAGAUAAAGCAUGGAAUGUGGAACUAAGCCAAUCCUAUCAACUUCUUCUUCCUUUUAACCUUGGAUAAGUAAACCUAGUGGAAGACAAGAGGUCAUAAAACUUCAGUCAUCUGU